UUCGUACUUCCUUCGUCCGGAAAUACUUGUCAAAAGAAUGGAUGUAUCUAGAUGCAUUUUAGUUUUACAUGCAUCCAUUUAUACUAAUUUUCGCGACAAGUAUUUUUAGACGAGGGAGUAUUUC
rnacentral:pre_miRNA from 1 species